GACGAACGCUGGCGGCGUGCUUAACACAUGCAAGUCGAACGGAAAGGCCCUGCUUUUGUGGGGUGCUCGAGUGGCGAACGGGUGAGUAACACGUGAGUAACCUUCCCUUGACUUUGGGAUAACUUCAGGUAACUGGGGCUAAUACCGGAUAGGAGCUCCUGCUGCAUGGUGGGGGUUGGAAAGUUUCGGCGGUUGGGGAUGGACUCGCGGCUUAUCAGCUUGUUGGUGGGGUAGUGGCCUACCAAGGCUUUGACGGGUAGCCGGCCUGAGAGGGUGACCGGCCACAUUGGGACUGAGAUACGGCCCAGACUCCUACGGGAGGCAGCAGUGGGGAAUAUUGCACAAUGGGCGGAAGCCUGAUGCAGCAACGCCGCGUGCGGGAUGACGGCCUUCGGGUUGUAAACCGCUUUCGCCUGUGACGAAGCGUGAGUGACGGUAAUGGGUAAAGAAGCACCGGCUAACUACGUG
rnacentral:rRNA from 1 species